GGUUCUAUGGAGUAGUGGUCAACUCUAGCGGUUCUGACUUGUUCUCAGGAUCCCCUCGAACGUCGAACGAGGGAUGUUUCGUUUCCGCUCGCCCCCGGUUCGAAUCCGGGUAGGACCU
rnacentral:tRNA from 1 species